AGCAGCCGCGGUAAUUCCAGCUCCAAUAGCGUAUAUUAAAGUUGUUGCAGUUAAAAAGCUCGUAGUUGAAUUUCGGGAUCAGUACGCUGGUCGUGCCUUAGGUAUGCACUGGUGUCACUGGUUCCUCCCUUCUGAAGAACUGUCAUGCCAUUAAUUUGGUGUGGUGGGGAAUCAGGACUGUUACUUUGAAAAAAUUAGAGUGUUUAAAGCAGGCUCGCGCUUGAAUACAUUAGCAUGGAAUAAUGAAAUAGGACGUUUGAUUCUAUUUUGUGGUUUCUAGGAUCGACGUAAUGAUUAAUAGGGAUAGUUGGGGGCAUUAGUAUUCAAUUGUCAGAGGUGAAAUUCUUGGAUUUAUUGAAGACUAACUACUGCGAAAGCAUUUGCCAAGGAUGUUUUCAUUAAUCAAGAACGAAAGUUAGGGGAUCGAAGACGAUCAGAUACCGUCGUAGUCUUAACCAUAAACUAUGCCGAC
rnacentral:rRNA from 1 species